rnacentral:lncRNA from 1 species
GUUAUUAUUGAUUGUGAUUUCUCACCCUUUUAUUGUUGUUGUGGUUUGUGUUCCUCUUUUGGGUACAUAUAAGUAGGUAAUUGAGUUAUUGCUUAGAGUGGGGGAUGACAUGAGGUUGUUUCUUCUUUUUCUUUAUGCGUUUAGUUUACGUACUCUGAUAUGUAACACUUGGAGAAACGUUUGUGAUUUAUCUUCUAUUGUGUUAAGUAGAGAGUUAAAGUAUACGCUUAUGGUUGAUGUUUUGAGGUUUUGAAGAGAUUGCAUUUAUGCUUUCG